rnacentral:misc_RNA from 1 species
AACUUUCGACAACGGAUCACUUGGUUCUCGCAUCGAUGAAGAACGCAGCGAAAUGCGAUAAGUAGUGUGAAUUGCAGAAUUCAGUGAAUCAUCGAUUCUUUGAACGCACAUUGCGCCUUUCGGCAUUCCGGAGGGCAUGCCUGUUCGAGAGUCAUUAACAACCAGUUCAAUCCCUCUUUGAAAAUAUUUGGGGGAUUGGUUAUUGGUGAAUGAGGGGAUGCGUGCAUCACGUUGAAUCACCUCACCACCGAAAUUCAGAGGCGGUUUGUCCCCACGUGUUUGUGGCGUUGUAAAGGAUUACCAGCACUAUUCGCUCGCAUCGUGGGUGCACUGCUUGCCAUUGGAGAAAUCCCCAUUCAUCAAAGGUUGACCUCGGAUCAGGUAGGGAUACCCGCUGAACUUAAGCAUAUCAAUAAGCGGAGGCU